rnacentral:rRNA from 1 species
AGCGAACGCUGGCGGCAGGCCUAACACAUGCAAGUCGAACGAACCCUUCGGGGUUAGUGGCGGACGGGGGAGUAAAACGUGGGAACGUGCCUUUAGGUUGGGAUUAACUGGGGGAACCUGGUGCUAUUACCGAAGGGCCCCUUGGGGGGAAGGAUUUAUCGCUUUUAGGGCGGCCCGCGUCUGAUUAGCUAGUUGGUGAGGUAAUGGCUCACCAAGGCUACGAUCAGUAGCUGGUCUGGGAGGAUGACCAGCCACAUUGGGACUGAGACACGGCCCAAACUCCUACGGGAGGCAGCAGUGGGGAAUCUUGCGCAAUGGGCGAAAGCCUGACGCAGCCAUGCCGCGUGGAUGAUGAAGGUCUUAGGAUUGUAAAAUCCUUUCACCGGUGAAGAUAAUGACUGUAGCCGGAGAAGAAGCCCCGGCUAACUUCGUGCCAGCCGCCGCUGUAAUAC